rnacentral:rRNA from 1 species
AUGGUGCACCAUGAGCUUUCCGACGAAAACUGGAUCAAAGCGGUGGCUAGAUUGCAGGCUUUGCAACAAUUGAGGGAGUACGUAUCCCUAUGGGAGUGGACCAUUCAGCUUCAGCCCAGUCCCAACCAGACGGAUUCCAUUUCUUGGAAGUUGACCACUGAUGGCAUUUACUCUGCGGCAUUCGCCUAUGCGGUUCUGUUCUGUGGUUCAUAUCCCACAUUUGACUCGGCCAAGAAUUGGUCAGCGGACACGGAGCCUAAGUGUAAGUACUUCGCCUGGCUCUCCCUCUAUGAGCGUAUUCUCACUGCGGACAUGAUUGCAAUCCGGGGUUGGACACACGACCUGUGA